AGUUCAGACGUGUGCUCUUCCGAUCUGCCUUGGCACCAGGAGCCGAAGAAGGACGUGACAAGCUGCGAUAAGCAGCGGGGAGGAGCAAAUAUCCUACGAUCCGCUGAUUUCCGAAUGGGGAAACCCGGCUGGAAGAACUCCAGUCAUCAUACAGUGAAUACAUAGCUGUAUGAAGGGAACCGCCUGAACUGAAACAUCUAAGUAGGGCGAGGAAGAGAAAGAAACAUCGAUUUCCUGAGUAGCGGCGAGCGAAAGGGAAAGAGCCUAAACCGGAGCGCGUGCGUUCCGGGGUUAUGGACUGCAAAAGUGAGUUGAAAGCUAGAAGAAAGGUUUUGGGAAAGCCUGCCAGAGAGAGUGAAAGCCUCGUAUUCGAAAGCGGAAGACAGCGGCAGUAUCCGGAGUACCACGAGACACGAGAAACCUUGUGGGAAAUCGGGGGGACCACCCCCCAAGGCUAAAUACUACUUAGUGACCGAUAGCGCAUAGUACUGUGAAGGAAAGGUGAAAAGGACCCCGGGAGGGGAGUGAAAGAGAACCUGAAACCCUGUGUUUACAAGCUGUGGAAGUUCUUUAAAUGAACAACCGCGUACUUUUUGUAGAACGGUCCGGCGAGUUGCGGAUACUGGCAAGGUUAAGCACUUAAGGUGCGGAGCCGAAGGGAUACCAAGUCUUAACAGGGCGUUAAGUCAGUGUACGUAGACCCGAAACCGGGUGAUCUACCCAUGUCCAGGCUGAAGUUGCCGUAAAAGGCAAUGGAGGGCCGAACGCACAUCCGUUGAAAAGGGUGGCGAUGAGGUGUGGGUAGGGGAGAAAUUCCAAUCGAACCCGGAGAUAGCUGGUUCUCCUCGAAAUAGCUUUAGGGCUAGCCUCGUAUUAGUCUGCCGGAGGUAGAGCACUGAAUUUCCUAGGGGGCGUCAAAGCCUACCGAAGAAUAUCAAACUCCGAAUGCCGGCCAGAUGAUGUACGGGAGUCAGACUGCACGAGAUAAGUUGGGUGGUCAAAAGGGAAAGAGCCCAGACCUACAGCUAAGGUCCCAAAGUGCGUGUUAAGUGGAAAAGGAUGUGGGAUUUCGAAGACAACUAGGAUGUUGGCUCAGAAGCAGCCACACAUUAAAAGAGUGCGUAAUAGCUCACUAGUCGAGAGGUCCUGCGCCGAAAAUGUCCGGGGCUGAAACACGACACCGAAGCUUAGGAAUGUAAUACAUUGGUAGAGGAGCAUUGUUAGCGGAACGAAGCCAUACCGGAAGGAGUGGUGGACUGCUAAGAAGAGAGAAUGCCGGAAUGAGUAGCGAGAAUGAAGUGAGAAUCUUCAUGGCCGAAUAUCCAAGGAUUCCAGGGUAAAGCUGAUCUGCCCUGGGUAAGUCGGGACCUAAGGCGAGGCUGAAAAGCGUAGCUGAUGGACAACAGGUUGAAAUUCCUGUACUGCCUUAUAACAGAACUGUGGGGACGCGGCGGCAGGCCACGAGCCGGGAAAGGAAAGCCCGGUGCAAGCGUGCGAUGGUCAGGGAGGCAAACCCCCCUGAGGAACAGGACACGUGAUGCGGAGCGAAAUAAAGUAGCGAAGAGUGGUGAGCCGGCGCCGAGAAAAGCCGCUAUUGUUUGUAAGGUACCCGUACCGUAAACCGACACAGGUGGAUGAGGAGAGAAUCCUAAGGCCGACGGGAGAAGCAUUGUUAAGGAACUCGGCAAAAUGACCCCGUAACUUCGGGAGAAGGGGUGCCCAUGAAAGUGGGCCGCAGAGAAUAGGCUCAAGCAACUGUUUAGCAAAAACACAGGUCUAUGCAAAACCGAAAGGUGAAGUAUAUGGGCUGACGCCUGCCCGGUGCUGGAAGGUUAAGGGGAGAGGUUAGCGCAAGCGAAGCUUUGAACUUAAGCCCCAGUAAACGGCGGCCGUAACAAUAACGGUCCUAAGGUAGCGAAAUUCCUUGUCGGGUAAGUUCCGACCCGCACGAAAGGCGUAAUGAUUUGAGCACUGUCUCGACAAUGCACCCGGUGAAAUUGAAGUACCAGUGAAGAUGCUGGUUACCCGCGCCAGGACGGAAAGACCCCAUGGAGCUUUACUCUAGUUUGGUACUGGGGUCCGGUAUUGCAUGUACAGGAUAGGUGGGAGGCUAUGAAGUGGGAACGCCAGUUUCCAUGGAGCCGACGUUGGGAUACCACCCCUGCAGUACUGGGCUUCUAACAUGCGGCCGUAAGCCGGCCGGUGGACAAUGCCAGGCGGGGAGUUUGACUGGGGCGGUCGCCUCCGAAAGAGUAUCGGAGGCGCUCAAAGGUUCCCUCAGAAUGGUUGGAAACCAUUCGAAGAGUGCAAAGGCAGAAGGGAGCUUGACUG
rnacentral:rRNA from 1 species